rnacentral:rRNA from 1 species
AGAGUUUGAUCCUGGCUCAGGAUGAACGCUAGCGGCAGGCUUAACACAUGCAAGUCGAGGGGCAUCGGGAGGGAAGCUUGCUUUCCUUGCCGGCGACCGGCGCACGGGUGAGUAACACGUAUGCAACCUGCCCUCUUCAGGGGGACAACCUUCCGAAAGGGAGGCUAAUCCCGCGUAUAUCGGUUUCGGGCAUCCGAGAUCGAGGAAAGAUUCAUCGGAAGAGGAUGGGCAUGCGGCGCAUUAGCUAGACGGCGGGGUAACGGCCCACCGUGGCGACGAUGCGUAGGGGUUCUGAGAGGAAGGUCCCCCACACUGGUACUGAGACACGGACCAGACUCCUACGGGAGGCAGCAGUGAGGAAUAUUGGUCAAUGGGAGAGAUCCUGAACCAGCCAAGCCGCGUGAGGGAAGACGGCCCUAUGGGUUGUAAACCUCUUUUGUUGGAGAACAAAACCCGGGACGUGUCCCGGACUGCGUGUAUCCGAAGAAAAAGCAUCGGCUAACUCCGUGCCAGCAGCCGCGGUAAUACGGAGGAUGCGAGCGUUAUCCGGAUUUAUUGGGUUUAAAGGGUGCGUAGGCGGUCCGUUAAGUCAGCGGUAAAAUUGCGGGGCUCAACCCCGUCGAGCCGUUGAAACUGGCAGACUUGAGUUGGCGAGAAGUACGCGGAAUGCGCGGUGUAGCGGUGAAAUGCAUAGAUAUCGCGCAGAACUCCGAUUGCGAAGGCAGCGUACCGGCGCCAGACUGACGCUGAGGCACGAAAGCGUGGGGAUCGAACAGGAUUAGAUACCCUGGUAGUCCACGCAGUAAACGAUGAAUGCUGGUUGUCCGGGUCGAAUGAGAUCUGGGCGGCGAAGCGAAAGCGAUAAGCAUUCCACCUGGGGAGUACGCCGGCAACGGUGAAACUCAAAGGAAUUGACGGGGGCCCGCACAAGCGGAGGAACAUGUGGUUUAAUUCGAUGAUACGCGAGGAACCUUACCCGGGCUCAAACGGGAGUGGAAUGGAUCAGAGACGGUUCAGCCUACGGGCCGCUUCCGAGGUGCUGCAUGGUUGUCGUCAGCUCGUGCCGUGAGGUGUCGGCUUAAGUGCCAUAACGAGCGCAACCCCCGCCGGCAGUUGCUAACGGGCAAUGCCGAGGACUCUGCCGGGACUGCCGCCGCAAGGCGAGAGGAAGGCGGGGAUGACGUCAAAUCAGCACGGCCCUUACGUCCGGGGCGACACACGUGUUACAAUGGGCGGUACAGCGGGAAGCCAGGCGGCGACGCCGAGCGGAACCCGAAAGCCGUUCUCAGUUCGGAUCGGAGUCUGCAACCCGACUCCGUGAAGCUGGAUUCGCUAGUAAUCGCGCAUCAGCCAUGGCGCGGUGAAUACGUUCCCGGGCCUUGUACUCACCGCCCGUCA